rnacentral:rRNA from 1 species
CGAAUGCUGACAUAAGUAACGAUAAAGCGGGUGAAAAGCCCGCUCGCCGGAAGACCAAGGGUUCCUGUCCAACGUUAAUCGGGGCAGGGUGAGUCGACCCCUAAGGCGAGGCCGAAAGGCGUAGUCGAUGGGAAACAGGUUAAUAUUCCUGUACUUGGUGUUACUGCGAAGGGGGGACGGAGAAGGCUAUGUUGGCCGGGCGACGGUUGUCCCGGUUUAAGCGUGUAGGCUGGUUUUCCAGGCAAAUCCGGAAAAUCAAGGCUGAGGCGUGAUGACGAGGCACUACGGUGCUGAAGCAACAAAUGCCCUGCUUCCAGGAAAAGCCUCUAAGCAUCAGGUAACAUCAAAUCGUACCCCAAACCGACACAGGUGGUCAGGUAGAGAAUACCAAGGCGCUUGAGAGAACUCGGGUGAAGGAACUAGGCAAAAUGGUGCCGUAACUUCGGGAGAAGGCACGCUGAUAUGUAGGUGAAGUCCCUCGCGGAUGGAGCUGAAAUCAGUCGAAGAUACCAGCUGGCUGCAACUGUUUAUUAAAAACACAGCACUGUGCAAACACGAAAGUGGACGUAUACGGUGUGACGCCUGCCCGGUGCCGGAAGGUUAAUUGAUGGGGUUAGCCGCAAGGCGAAGCUCUUGAUCGAAGCCCCGGUAAACGGCGGCCGUAACUAUAACGGUCCUAAGGUAGCGAAAUUCCUUGUCGGGUAAGUUCCGACCUGCACGAAUGGCGUAAUGAUGGCCAGGCUGUCUCCACCCGAGACUCAGUGAAAUUGAACUCGCUGUGAAGAUGCAGUGUACCCGCGGCAAGACGGAAAGACCCCGUGAACCUUUACUAUAGCUUGACACUGAACAUUGAGCCUUGAUGUGUAGGAUAGGUGGGAGGCUUAGAAGUGUGGACGCCAGUCUGCAUGGAGCCGACCUUGAAAUACCACCCUUUAAUGUUUGAUGUUCUAACGUUGACCCGUAAUCCGGGUUGCGGACAGUGUCUGGUGGGUAGUUUGACUGGGGCGGUCUCCUCCUAAAGAGUAACGGAGGAGCACGAAGGUUGGCUAAUCCUGGUCGGACAUCAGGAGGUUAGUGCAAUGGCAUAAGCCAGCUUGACUGCGAGCGUGACGGCGCGAGCAGGUGCGAAAGCAGGUCAUAGUGAUCCGGUGGUUCUGAAUGGAAGGGCCAUCGCUCAACGGAUAAAAGGUACUCCGGGGAUAACAGGCUGAUACCGCCCAAGAGUUCAUAUCGACGGCGGUGUUUGGCACCUCGAUGUCGGCUCAUCACAUCCUGGGGCUGAAGUAGGUCCCAAGGGUAUGGCUGUUCGCCAUUUAAAGUGGUACGCGAGCUGGGUUUAGAACGUCGUGAGACAGUUCGGUCCCUAUCUGCCGUGGGCGCUGGAGAACUGAGGGGGGCUGCUCCUAGUACGAGAGGACCGGAGUGGACGCAUCACUGGUGUUCGGGUUGUCAUGCCAAUGGCACUGCCCGGUAGCUAAAUGCGGAAGAGAUAAGUGCUGAAAGCAUCUAAGCACGAAACUUGCCCCGAGAU